rnacentral:lncRNA from 1 species
UGGCCACUAAUUCAUGGUUGGCUCGGUUCCUCUUGUCAAGGUAUGUCACUUGAACCCAUCCAAAUCUGAUCAUUUACCGAUGUUGGUGGAGAUUCAGAGUUCUUUGGUGGUGCAGGCUAGGAAGGGACAGAGGUUUCGGUUUAAGAAAAUAUGGUUACAAGGGGAAGGUUGUGAAAAUGUCAUUCAGAGUGCUUGGGCCUUUCCGAGUGCAAGAGUGCCGUUAUUCCAAGUUUGUGAGAAGAUUCGUACCACGCGGGUGGCGUUAUUGGAGCA